rnacentral:lncRNA from 1 species
CUGUGGGCCAUUUCAAAACUGAGCUCUUAAUGAUUCCACACCUAAUUUAUUUUGAGCAGGAAUGAAAUGCCUUGAAUUAUGAAAAUAAUUUCCUUUUACUUUUGGGGACCAUGUUUCAGAGUUCAGUCACUAAAUACAGUAGGUAAAUAAAGAUGCUCAGGAAGUUUAUGUACUAAAAUAUAGAAAUGUACCUGUGUUCUUGGCUGGCCAAAAAUUGAGUUAUAGCUUGCAGUAGCAAUAUUUUGAGAAAAGAAAGGACUAAGAUGUUUAUUCUUUAGUGUGAUAGCUGGUGAGAUGUAUAAAUAGAUGUUUCAGUGGGCAUUCAGGCACACCAAUUUGUUUUUCGGCUCAUCCGUUAUGGAGAGCUUCAGGAAAUCUGCUGGUAUGCUUACGUUGAUAGACUUUUCUGUGAAGGUAUGCCGUAUGAUCGUUUCCUCUGGCAGAAGAAACAAGAAAGCAACUUUGUCAGUGCUGUUCUGAAAGGCCUUUUGUAGCAUCCAUCAACUCCUGUGAACUUCAGGGGAAUCGCUCAUCCCUUUCAUCCCAAGGAAAAAGGAUCAAUACCUGAGAGAUCUCUUAUAGGCCUAGGAGUCCUGGGGACAUGAGCCAGCAAUAGGCACUUUGGUGCUCUGAAUAUUUCCCUUUCCAUACAGCCUUCCUUUCUGAUGCUCAUCUAUGCUGCACUGCUAUAGAUUUUUCCCUGACAAGUGUGGUUCAGUGUAUGCAUACACACCGCCUGGAAGAAACUGAACCUAAGUGGUGAUGUUUCACACUUCUCUAAGAAACACUGGUUUUAUAAACAGUCCACAUACAGAUACUGUGAAUUCUAAGGAUUAUAAACUUCAUCAAAGACUUUUUUUAUUUCUCUGAAAUAGUCCAAGAACUUUUAUAGCAGCAACAAUAAUAGUCUUGUUGCUUUUGUGGGAGGAUUGGGCUUCAUGACUUGGUUCUUUUCUAUUACAAUUAGCCUGCUUUGUUU